rnacentral:rRNA from 1 species
UACGGAGGGGGCAAGCGUUGUCCGGACUUACUGGGCGUAAAGGGUGCGUAGGCGGCCUACUGCGUCGGUGCUGAAAGCGCCCGGCUUAACCGGGCGAGGCGUGCCGAUACGAGCGGGCUGGAGCCUUGGCGAGGGUGGCGGAACUCCUGGUGUAGUGGUGAAAUGCGUAGAGAUCAGGAAGAACACCCGUGGCGCAAGCGGCCACCUGGCCAAGAGCUGACGCUGAGGCACGAGAGCGUGGGGAGCGAACAGG